UACGGGGGGGGCAAGCGUUGUUCGGAAUUACUGGGCGUAAAGGGCUCGUAGGUGGCCAACUAAGUCAGACGUGAAAUCCCUCGGCUUAACCGGGGAACUGCGUCUGAUACUGGAUGGCUAGAGAUUGGGAGAGGGAUGCGGAAUUCCAGGUGUAGCGGUGAAAUGCGUAGAUAUCUGGAGGAACACCGGUGGCGAAGGCGGCGUCCUGGACCAACACUGACACUGAUGAGCGAAAGCCAGGGGAGCAAACGGG
rnacentral:rRNA from 1 species